rnacentral:rRNA from 1 species
UACGUAGGGGGCUAGCGUUGUUCGGAAUUACUGGGCGUAAAGCGCACGUAGGCGGACAUUUAAGUCAGGGGUGAAAUCCCAGAGCUCAACUCUGGAACUGCCUUUGAUACUGGGUGUCUUGAGUAUGGAAGAGGUGAGUGGAAUUCCGAGUGUAGAGGUGAAAUUCGUAAAUAUUCGGAGGAACACCAGUGGCGAAGGCGGCUCACUGGUCCAUUACUGACGCUGAGGUGCGAAAGCGUGGGGAGCAAACAGG